AAGAGAGACAACUGCAGGCCUACUAAUGAAACACAACAACUACUUUUUGGAGUGCCCAUCCCUCCCCCUGGAUUAUCGGUGGCCAGCUAGCGUAAACGGUGAGACUCCUCCUGAAGGUUCAACCACGGGGUUAUGGCCCAGAGGAGAGGUGCUGGGUCCCUGCUAAACACAUCUUGAACCCGGCCCUCAUCGCCGACACCCCGCUCAGCCAGAGGAACUGAGCCCUAGGACCAUGCCUCAGGACUACCUGACAUGAUGACUCCUUGCUGUCCCCAGUCCACCUGGCCGUGCUGCUGCUCCAGUUUCAACUGUUCUGCAUUAUUAUUAUUAUUAUUAUUAUUAUUGGACCAUGCUGGUCAUUUAUGAACAUUUGAACAUCUUGGCCAUGUUCUGUUAUAAUCUCCACCCGGCACAGCCAGAAGAGGACUGGCCACCCCUCAUAGCCUGGUUCCUCUCUAGGUUUCUUCCUAGGUUCUGGCCUUUCUAGGGAGUUUUUCCUAGCCACCGUGCUUCUACACCUGCAUUGCUUGCUGUUUGGGGUUUUAGGCUGGGUUUCUGUACAGCACUUUGAGAUAUCAGCUGAUGUACGAAGGGCUAUAUAAAUAAAUUUGAUCUGA
ensembl:lncRNA